rnacentral:ncRNA from 1 species
UCUAUUGUGAUAUCUCUUUUCUUGCUCCCCCAUAUUCUUCCCCUGACUCAAUCUUCCUGCUCUCAUUUUUUCACUGACCUGGUGAGGCAGCAUCGGGGGGGAGGUGAGCCCCAAGGGAUUCUUACUUCUGGUGCCAAGUGCGGGCAGGUGCAACCCACUCUGGGGACAGUGCCAGGUAGGGAGUUUGACUGGGGUGGUAUACCUGUCAAAUGGUAACACGGGUGUCCUAAAGGAGCUCAGGGAGGACAGAAACCUCCCAUGGAUCAGAAGAGCAAAAGCUGGCUAGAUCUUGAUUUUUCAGUAUGAAUACAGAAAAUGAAAGCAGGGCCUCACGAUCCUUCUGACCUUUUGGGUGUUAAGCAGGAGGUUUCAGAAAAGUUAUCACAGGCAUAACUGGCUUGUGGCAGCCAAGCGUUCAUAGUACACACAUAUUUAUAAUG